GUGGGGAAUAUUGGACAAUGGGCGCAAGCCUGAUCCAGCAAUGCCGCGUGGGUGAAGAAGGUCUUCGGAUCGUAAAGCCCUUUCGACAGGGACGAUGAUGACGGUACCUGUAGAAGAAGCCCCGGCUAACUUCGUGCCAGCAGCCGCGGUAAUACGAAGGGGGCUAGCGUUACUCGGAAUUACUGGGCGUAAAGGGCGCGUAGGCGGCUCUGUUAGUCAGGCGUGAAAUUCCUGGGCUUAACCUGGGGACUGCGCUUGAUACUGCAGGGCUUGAGGUCGAGAGAGGGUGGUGGAAUUCCCAGUGUAGAGGUGAAAUUCGUAGAUAUUGGGAAGAACACCGGUGGCGAAGGCGACCACCUGGCUCGGUUCUGACGCUGAGGCGCGACAGCGUGGGGAGCAAACAGGAUUAGAAACCCGGGUAGUCC
rnacentral:rRNA from 1 species